rnacentral:tRNA from 1 species
UGGCUCAGACAGUAAAGUGUCUGCCUGCAAUGCAGGAGACCCAGGUUCGACCCCUGG